UACAUAAGGAGCAAGCGUUGUCCGGAAUUAUUGGGCGUAAAGAGCUUGUAGGCGGUUUGUCGCGUCUGCUGUGAAAAUCCGGGGCUCAACCCCGGACUUGCAGUGGGUACGGGCAGACUAGAGUGUGGUAGGGGAGACUGGAAUUCCUGGUGUAGCGGUGAAAUGCGCAGAUAUCAGGAGGAACACCGAUGGCGAAGGCAGGUCUCUGGGCCACUACUGACGCUGAGAAGCGAAAGCAUGGGGAGCGAACAGGAUUAGA
rnacentral:rRNA from 1 species